rnacentral:rRNA from 1 species
GACGAACCGUCCUAACGUUGUUCGGAAUCACUGGGCUUAAAGGGCGCGUAGGCGGGCGAUCAAGUCCAGGGUGAAAUCUUUCGGCUUAACCGGAAAAUAGCCUUGGAUACUGAUAGUCUCGAGGGAGGCAGGGGCCGUUGGAACUUCCGGUGGAGCGGUGAAAUGCGUUGAUAUCGAUAGGAACUCCGGUGGCGAAGGCGGCAUACUGGACCACCACUGACGCUGAUGCGCGAAAGCCAGGGGAGCAAACGGG